rnacentral:misc_RNA from 1 species
UCCCGCAACGAGCGCAACCCUCGUCCUGUGUUGCCAGCGAGUUAUGUCGGGGACUCAUAGGAGACUGCCGGGGUCAACUCGGAGGAAGGUGGGGAUGACGUCAAGUCAUCAUGCCCCUUACGUCUUGGGCUGCACACAUGCUACAAUGGCCGGUACAAAGGGCUGCGAUACCGCGAGGUGGAGCGAAUCCCAAAAAGCCGGUCUCAGUUCGGAUCGGGGUCUGCAACUCGACCCCGUGAAGUCGGAGUCGCUAGUAAUCGCAGAUUCAGCAAUGCUGCCGGUGAAUACGUUCCCGGGCCUUGUACACACCGCCCGUCACGUCACGAAAGUCGGUAACACCCGAAGCCGGUGGCCUAACCCUUGUGGGAGGAGCCGUCGAAGGUGGGACCGGCGAUUGGGACGAAGUCGUAACAAGGUAGCCGUACCGGAAGGUGCGGCUGGAUCACCUCCUUUCUAAGGAGCGUCUGGCUCCGUCCUGCUGCUGGGGGUUUCCCCUGGUGGGGGUGGGGUCCAGGGCCAGGGCCGGGCGAGUGUCCCGGUCUGGUUGCUCGAGGGCGUGGAACGCUGACAUGUGGUUCGCCGGCUGGUGCCGGUCUCUAGUACAG